GGACAGCUGGUACAUGCUCCUAAACAUACAACACAAUUCAACAUAAGCUCGAUUACAUAACAUGAGAGCACUAUUGCUGCUGCAGAUGAUCUCUCUGCACUCUAAAAAGGAAAAAGGCUAGAGAUUUGGACCAAAACUAUAGUCUACAAGAUAUUAUACCAAGAACAGUAAUCAGCCAAACUAAAGUUGUCAUGUCUCAAGCUCGAAUCUAGAGCUCUAUAGAGAAUAGAAAACCUAAGACUGGUCAGUUAUAGAUUCCAACAACUCAAACCCCAAAAAGUUUCUAUCUUGUCGAACGAAAUCAGCAGAACCUAACUCCAAUAUUCUGAAUUUUUGUAUAUGAAAUCAAAACGAAGACUAACCUUGGAGCUUAAGAGAG